GCCGGGUGUGGUGGUGCACACCUGUAAUCCUAGCUACUGGGGGGUCAGGGGGACUACAAAAUAUGGCUGGAGACUUGGCUCAGUGGUCGAGAGCUCCUGAGUUCAAUCCCUGAU
rnacentral:sRNA from 1 species